rnacentral:rRNA from 1 species
UACGUAGGGUGCAAGCGUUGUCCGGAAUUAUUGGGCGUAAAGAGCUCGUAGGCGGUCUGUCGCGUCGGAUGUGAAAAUCAGGGCUCAACCCUGGACCUGCAUUCGAUACGGGCAGACUAGAGUUCGGCAGGGGAGACUGGAAUUCCUGGUGUAGCGGUGAAAUGCGCAGAUAUCAGGAGGAACACCGGUGGCGAAGGCGGGUCUCUGGGCCGAUACUGACGUGAGGAGCGAAAGCGUGGGAGCGAACAGG